rnacentral:rRNA from 1 species
AGAGUUAAAUAGUACGUGAAAUUGUUGAAAGGGAAACGAUUGAAGCCAGUCGUACCGACGGAGAAUCAACCUCUAGAGUGUGGAAUGCGGGUAUUCGGGGAGUUAAAACCUUCGUUUGUUCGUACUUUAGUGCUCUGAGGUGCAUUUCUUCGUGUGGUAGGUUAACAUCAAUUUUGGACGUUACAAAAUGACUGGGGGAAUGUAGCUUCGAUUUUUCGAAGUGUUAUAGCCCUUGGUAGAUGUGACGACCGGGAUUGAGGAUUGCAACGAAUGCUUUCGGGCUAUCCGUCUGGCCUCUGAUGGUUACUUUGGGGUCGAAAGCUUGCUUACGGCUUUAAAGUUGACUGUCAAAAGGUUAGAACGUGAUUAAAUUCGUUAAGGAUGUUGACGUAAUGGCUUUAAACGACC